rnacentral:rRNA from 1 species
GACGAACGCUGGCGGCGUGCCUAAUACAUGCAAGUCGAGCGAAGUUUUUCUGGUGCUUGCACUAGAAAAACUUAGCGGCGAACGGGUGAGUAACACGUAAAGAACCUGCCUCAUAGACUGGGACAACUAUUGGAAACGAUAGCUAAUACCGGAUAACAGUAUUUCUCGCAUGAGAGAUAUUUAAAAGUUGGUUAUGCUAACACUAUGAGAUGGCUUUGCGGUGCAUUAGCUAGUUGGUGGGGUAAAGGCCCACCAAGGCGACGAUGCAUAGCCGACCUGAGAGGGUGAUCGGCCACACUGGGAAUGAGACACGGCCCAGACGCCUACGGGAGGCAGCAGUAGGGAAUCUUCCGCAAUGGGCGAAAGCCUGACGGAGCAACGCCGCGUGAGUGAAGAAGGAUUUCGGUUCGUAAAGCUCUGUUGUUAGGGAAGAAUGGAUAUGUAGUAACUAUACAUGUAAGAGACGGUACCUAACCAGAAAGCCACGGCUAACUACGU